UAGGGAAUCUUCGGCAAUGGACGAAAGUCUGACCGAGCAACGCCGCGUGAGUGAAGAAGGUUUUCGGAUCGUAAAACUCUGUUGGUAGAGAAGAACGUUGGUGAGAGUGGAAAGCUCAUCAAGUGACGGUAACUACCCAGAAAGGGACGGCUAACUACGUGCCAGCAGCCGCGGUAAUACGUAGGUCCCGAGCGUUGUCCGGAUUUAUUGGGCGUAAAGCGAGCGCAGGUGGUUUAUUAAGUCUGGUGUAAAAGGCAGUGGCUCAACCAUUGUAUGCAUUGGAAACUGGUAGACUUGAGUGCAGGAGAGGAGAGUGGAAUUCCAUGUGUAGCGGUGAAAUGCGUAGAUAUAUGGAGGAACACCGGUGGCGAAAGCGGCUCUCUGGCCUGUAACUGACACUGAGGCUC
rnacentral:rRNA from 1 species